rnacentral:rRNA from 1 species
AGCUCCAAUAGCGUAUCUUAAUGUUGUUGCAGUUAAAAAGCUCGUAGUUGGAUCUCGGGGUACCUGGUCUAGCCGGUAUAGCUCACGCUAAAACUGGUCUGACCCCCCAACGUGAGGUAUUCGUCUCCGGGUGCACUUCAUUGGGUGCUCGUGAGGGGCCUCGUAGUUACUGUGAAAAAAUUAGAGUGUUCAAAGCAGGCUCAUAUGUUCGGAUAGUCGUGCAUGGAAUAACUGAAAGCGUGACGGGCGCAUUUUAGUGGGUCUCGGAGACUGGUCAAAUGAUUAAGAGGGACUGCCGGGAGCAUUGGUAUGGAGGGGUUAGAGGUGAAAUUCUUGGAUCCUCGCCAGACCAACAAAAGCGAAAGCAUUUGCCAAGAAUGUCUGCA